rnacentral:miRNA from 1 species
CACACACACACACACACAAA